rnacentral:lncRNA from 1 species
UAGGUUCUACCUCUCAAUCGCUGAGUGUAAUCAUGUCCAAGAUAAACUUCUGCCCCACAAUUUUCUCAUAUGUAGAGUGAGAAUAAGGGUAAUGCCACCUUAUGUGGUUGUAUUGGAGCUUGAAUGUGGUUAAUACCUACAACUUCCAAUAAGUAUUUGAUGAUAAUGACGGUCAUUAAAAAGGGUGUGGCAGUCAGGAGAAAGUGUACAGUGUGCAGUUAGGCAGAGGUACUUGCCUCCUCUGCCCAGCAAAGUUCUCUCUGAACCAAGCCACAAGUGGACAAGUCCCCACCCAAAUAAAUGACUGGUCUGUUCUCCCUCAUCUUUUACAACAUUGCUCUGAAUCAUGGCUGACCUUGAAACAGUUAACCUGCCCUGUCUGCAUCCAUCUUCCUGGCCAUGAUUGUGGAGUCUCAAGAGGCAGAUUGUUACCAAAUCCCUGUGUCCCUUGUCCUGAAUCACAGCCCAGGUUUUAACCAGCCACUAGUACCCCAGCAAGUGGAGGCCUGCUUCACUGUAAGUCCAUUGAGUCUCCUGGCUUCCCUUUGCCUGGUAUUGACACAAUAUUCUUUGCAGUAAUAGUAAUGCAGGAUCAGAGGAUCAGACACCCUUUGCCUCUCUCCCUCUCCCUCUCUCUCUCUGCUCCCAUUUAAGCAUUUGCCACCUCCCACACAUUCUCCCCUGGGAUACCUCUUCAGCCC